AACGCACAUUGCGCCCCUUGGCAUUCCGGGGGGCAUGCCCGUUCGAGCGUCAUUUCACCAAUCAAGCCUGGCUUGGCAUUGGGUCCCGGGGGUGACCCGGACCUCAAAAUUCGCGGCUGGACGGUCCCGAGCUCAGCGUCGUGGUUGAAUCAAAUUCGCGAAGCGACGGACAGUGCACGCCGUUUAAAAUUCAUUCAGGUUGACCUCGGAUCGGGUAGGAAUACCCGCUGAACUUAA
rnacentral:misc_RNA from 1 species